GAAUCAUUCACAAUGGGCGAAAGCCUGAUGGUGCGACGCCGCGUGAGGGAUGAAGGUCUUCGGAUUGUAAACCUCUGUCACCGGGGAAGAAACGCUUUGAGCUAAUAGUUCAAAGCCUGACUUAACCCGGAGAGGAAGCAGUGGCUAACUCUGUGCCAGCAGCCGCGGUAAUACAGAGACUGCAAGCGUUAUUCGGAUUCACUGGGCGUAAAGGGUGCGCAGGCGGCCAUGUGUGUGAGGCGUGAAAGCCCGGGGCUUAACCCCGGAAUUGCACCUCAAACUACAUGGCUAGAGCAUUGGAGAGGGUAGCAGAAUUCAUGGUGUAGCAGUGGAAUGCGUAGAUAUCAUGAGGAAUACCAGAGGCGAAGGCGGCUACCUGGACAAUUGCUGACGCUCAGGCACGAAAGCGUGGGGAGCAAAAGGG
rnacentral:rRNA from 1 species